rnacentral:rRNA from 1 species
UACGUAGGGUGCAAGCGUUAAUCGGAAUUACUGGGCGUAAAGCGUGCGCAGGCGGUGAUGUAAGACAGGUGUGAAAUCCCCGGGCUUAGCCUGGGAACUGCAUUUGUGACUGCAUCGCUGGAGUGCGGCAGAGGGGGAUGGAAUUCCGCGUGUAGCAGUGAAAUGCGUAGAUAUGCGGAGGAACACCGAUGGCGAAGGCAAUCCCCUGGGCCUGCACUGACGCUCAUGCACGAAAGCGUGGGGAGCAAACAGG